rnacentral:tRNA from 1 species
GGAGGGGUUACCGAGUCUGGUCAAAGGUGCUGGACUUAAGAUCCAGUGGCAUAGGCCACCAGUAAGCAUUUAUGUCUAUUGGCCUAAAUUCGUGGGUUCGAAUCCCAUCCCCUCCA